GCCAACUAGAUGGCUGGCUGCUGGUGUGCAGCGCUCUCUUUCUCUCUCUCCUUCGCCCCCCCUGUGGGAAGAGGGAGGCGGGCAAUGGAGAGGGGGAAGCGGAGCGCGAGGAGAAGGAGGAAGGAAGAAGAAGAAGAAGAAGAAGAAGAAGAAGAAGAAGAAGAAGAAGAAGAAGAAGAAGAAGAAGAGAGGCGCCCCCCCACUUGCCCCCUUUCUUCCUCCUGGGUUUGCAGCUCUGCUUGCAGGGUCCCCCUACCCGCCCGAGCCUUAUAGAGUUGUCCUCCCUUAGGUGCACCUCUCAGAGUUCUGCUUACAAAACGCAUGCCAUUUUGAAGUCCUGGGAGUUUUAAAGCAAUUUCCAAGCAAUUCACAGGAGCCUCAUCAUCAGCCAUUGCAAGCUCUGCUUCACUGAACCGAGAAUAAAAAAUUAACAGGAAAUAAACUGAAAUGCUGCCUCCAGAUGGGGAUAGAAGCCCUUGAGACAGAGACAGAGGCCCUGUUGUCAUCUUUCCUCUGGGAACUGCAUCAGUCAGAAAAUAUAUAAUAAUACAUCACUACUUGGUGCUAAAUUUUCAAUAAACAUUAUCUGUGACUAAUGUGGAACACCUGUGAAGAGAAUAGAGAGUGCAUCGUCUGGUAGAGGAGAAAAACGGAGGUAGCUGGGCAGCUCAAAACAGAUUUACUUUUCCUUCCCUGGAUGAACCCUAAAAUUUGUUGAAUGCACCAGGCAGUGUCCAUCCAGCUACAGUUCUGUUCCUACUGCCUGGGAAGUUAACAGGGUGGAACUGAAUUCUGAGUAGACACACAACAACACAUACACACACACACACACACACACACACGACAACUUGAGGGAAGGUAGUAUUCACAGUAUAAAUUAAUGAAUAUAAUGAAAAAGCUUUCCUUCAUAGCAGUGUAAAUGGAACCCUUCACAGCAAAAGUUCAUUUGCUCAUUCCUCUGCUUAACUGAUUUAUAUUUAGAACCAUUUUUAACAGGAAGAAAUAAUAGUAAAAGAUUAGGACAGAAGAUGUAAGACCAAGAAAUCAAGAUCUGUGACUGUAACAUAGAUUAAUGCAGAAUAAUUUUUUUAAACUGUCUGAAAGGUUUUGGAAGAAUUGACAAUAUUGGAUUAAUGUAAAGAAAACUGAAUAAUAAUUUGUAUAGAUCAUAAUUAGAAAUAAAAUGACUGGUAGAAAUAUCUAGAUUUCUGAUUAGCUAUAAAAUAUUUGAGAAUAGUAUUUUUCAUUAAGGAUGAAGUACUACAACAGCUGAAAUGAUAGAAUGGAAUAUAAGAUUAAGGCAAAAUUGUAGCUUUAAAGAUGGAGCUAUUAACUAGAAUUAUUUUUCCUUUGCAAUAUAUACUUAUAGCAGCAACAGAAAAAAGAAUGAGUGUAUGGCAGUGAAUAAUUGAUCAUUUUGUUUGAUAUGACAAGAAGCUGAGGUUAAAAUCAAAUAUGAGGAGGAAAAUAAUAUCUUCAUGGAAGAACAGGCAGGAUUUAAUAGUGAUUUCUCUACUUUUCAUGGUUUUGUGUUGAAGGGCAGAAAGAGAUGAUUGUCUGCAGCAUUUGGGGAUUUGAAACCUUGCUUUUGAUGCAUUGAUCAUGUUUAUUAUAUGAAUGAUAAAACAAUCUUUUCUACAGCAACCAGAGGGGGGGAACCUCCUGUCUUACUAAAUGCAUAUGGCAUAGUCCUCUUGUUUGCUGUUUAAUAAGGAUAUCAAUAUAGUCUUACAGACCUUUUGGGGUACAAAGUUGGACUGAGGGGGUCCUCUUGGUAGUUCCUCCCCCCUCGGAGGCUGGGGGAUGGCCCUGGAGAGGGCCCUCUCUGUGGUGCCUCCUAAAUUGUGAGCUCCACUCUCCACAGAGGUCUGUGUAGCAUCUUCACUAUAUGGCUCCCAGGAAAUGCUGAAGGCACAGCUCUGUGCCCUGGUCUUUGGCACUCAAGAAGAAAAGGCUAAGGAGUAAACCCUACACAGAUCUGGAGUGGAGUGGUUGGGUGGCGCAUUACAUGCCCCCUUCCAGCAACUCCUGCCGCCAAGUGGGUGCCAAACGUCUUGCUCUGCUUUGCAAGGCCAGGGGUCUUGUCAUCUGGGCAGCCCAGGACCUCCAGACACAGGGCCCAGGCUUGCACCCCAGAGAAGUCACUACAGUGCAAAAAGCCGUUCUGAGUUGCCGGUCUCUACAGCCGCAGCGGGUGCUGUGAUUCUCUGGUGGUUUGACUUUGCCCUGGGAGGGGUGCCCCAUUGCCCCUCAAGACGGAUGGAUGAUGCCAGCAGCAAGUUGUUUUAAAAUGUUUUUAGUAUUGUGCUUAGAUUGUAAUCCAUUUUGGGACAUCUGGUUGAAGGUCGGGUAAAUAAUAAUAAGAUUGAAAAGAGCUGUUACCUUCUUAAUAACACUAGUCAAGGCAUGUGUGGAAUUUUAUAAAAUCAGUGUAAGAAUUCUGUUGGAGAGACUGGAUUAUUUCACUUACGUUCCUUUUAUUUUUAUAUGCUUUGUUAUAGUUGUUCUUGUUUAGUCCCAGUCUUGUUCUUGUGGCCCAGGAGAGGACCACAUCAUUCAGCAACGCUGAAGAUACGCCCGGCUGUCCUGUUUUCAGGACCCACCCUAUGCCUGUGAGUGUAAUUUGUUUUUAAUACUGGAAUUUAAAUUGCUGUAACCUG